rnacentral:rRNA from 1 species
GCGUGGAGACAGGUGGUGCAUGGCUGUCGUCAGCUCGUGUCGUGAGAUGUUGGGUUAAGUCCCGCAACGAGCGCAACCCUCACCCCUAGUUGCCACCGGGUAAAGCCGAGCACUCGAGGGGAACUGCCAGCGUCAAGCUGGAGGAAGGCGGGGAUGACGUCAAGUCAUCAUGCCCCUUACGUCCUGGGCUACACACGUGCUAUAAUGGCUAGUACAGAGGGAUGCGAGACUGCGAGGUGGAGCUAAUCCCAAAAAGCUGGUCUAAGUUCAGAUUGCAGUCUGCAACUCGACUGCAUGAAGUAGGAAUCGCUAGUAAUCGCGCAUCAGCACGGCGCGGUGAAUACGUUCCCGGGCCUUGUACACACCGCCCGUCACACCACGAAAGCUGGCUGUACUCGAAGUCGCUGAG